CGCGGCGCGCGGCGAUUGGCCGGCGCCCCGCGCGGGGGCGGGGCGGAGCGCUGGCAGCCGCGCCCCCUUCCCCGCGGCCGGGCGGGCGCUUCCUCCGCUCGGCUCGCGCGGGUACCGGCGCGUGGGCCGGGGGCCUCUGGUGGCUGGGCUCGUGUCGCGUGGCCGUCAGCGUGCGUUCCCCCGUCUGUCCCGCGCAAGGGAGCUCGGAACCGGCCGCACGUGCGAGCCGGUGCCCCCGGCCUGGCGAGCGCGCCCCGGCGCGCACCCGGUGCCACGCGCGCCCUGGCACCCGCGGGCAGCAGAGCGGUGCGGGCGGCGCCCCCGGAGCGCCUCCGCCCUCGGGCUCACGGCCCCCACGAGCGGGAGCCCCGAGGCACGGUUCGAGGGCGGGGCCGACGGGUCGGAGCUGACCGGGUCCCGGAGGUCCCGUCUGUUUUCAGUCCACCGUGCGCUUGUUACGCCAGUUCUGAUGUUCGAGAAACACGGUGUCAGCAUCUUACUGAUCUCGAUUACGGAGCGUUCUGGGGCCCGUCUACGCUUUAAGCUGGAAAGUAGAACGAUAUGGAAAGAUUUUACGUUUUUGGCCACAGUUCGCAUCCCUAUUAAGGCACAUUUUUGGCUCAGUGACGGUGAGCGAGACCCACAACCUCCCUGGGUCUCAGUUUUCUGUUAGUAUCGGAAACAUCAGUGAACAAAACCAAGAUGCCUGCCCUCAUCGAUUUUUCAUUCUAAUGGGCAAAACACAUAGACUCUGCAGCUGGCCUCGCCUGUGCUCUGGCAUGGAGAAGCUGCCGGGGACUGUUGAGCUGUACGCCUGUUCAGUUGGGUCUCUGGUUCCGUGCGUGUUUCAAGAUUUUAUUUAUUAAAGAGAGAGCACGAGCAGGGAGGAAAGGGAGAAGCAGGAUCCCUGCUGAGCAAGGAGCCCGACACAAGACCUGAUCCCAGGACCCUGAGAUCAUAACCUGAACCGAAGGCAGACACCCAACCGACUGAGCCAGCCAGGCGCCCCUCAGAAUUUUACUUUUAGCCCAUCUCAGGCUGAGGAACUGUGCGGAAGAGGACACGAUACCUGAAUACGACAUGGUACCUGGGGUGGGCUUUGGGAACAGAUGACGGACAUGAAGAACUGAGGACAUCUGAACCAGGUAUGAGCUGCAGCUAGGAAUAAUGUGUGUGUCAGUGCUGAUUCACUGAUUGGGACACGUGGACCAUAAGAUGUCACUAGCAGGGGAAAGUGGGUGUGCAGUAUAUAGGAUCCCUCCGUACCAUCUUCAGCCUUCUCUAUUAGUCGAAAAGUACUCUAAAAUGAAAUUUUUAUUGAAAGAGCAAACCUCUCUGGCCCCUCAGACAGCCAUCAGAACCUGUUUGUGAAGGGCUCCCAUGCAGCAGUGAUGGGCUUUGGCUGGGCCUGGGGCCAAGAGACCUCACCACUGGCCACUUACUGAGCAGGAUGCUGGAUGCCCAGCCAUUGCCAGGAAGGCGGUGCUGAAGGAGACCGGUGCUGGCUAGACACCCUGUUUUCCCCAGCUCUGAGCCCUGAGAGGCUGCCCCACACGGACUGCCUCCAUGAGCGUCCUUGUCCUUUGGCCUCCAGUUGUGGUUGGUCUGUGGGAAACGGGGAGGAGGUGGGAGGGAGAAGGAGCCCGAGGUGGGGGUGCUUAUUCUUGGGUUGAGCCCUUCUGGGUCACAGAGGGGAAUGAUCCUCUUCUAUCAAAGGCCCCAGCUCCUUUCACCGUGGCCUCUUGCAUUCAGCUCCUCACCCAGGUUCUGGGAAGAGUGUUCCCCUCCAGCUCUUAUCAGCCCAAAGCACAGCUCUCACUCAGUACUACGGGUACCCUACGGAUACGUGCUCAGCCUUGAUAAAUGUUCAUCUGAUGAAUGAACCAGCCAAUGAAUCACAGACUGGUAUAGUUGCCAGAGACCCCUGUGACAUGGGACCAAACAGCCCCGUGGUUAGAACGUGGGGAGGUCGGCGCUGGGCUCAACCGAUGGCUCUUUUGCUUAACCAGACACGCAGUCUGGGGCAAGCUGUGCAAGUUGUCCAAGCUUCCAUUCCUUCUCUUUAAAGUGGAGAUCGGGGCCGCCUGGGUGGCUCAGUUGGUUAAGCGACUGCCUUCAGCUCAGGUCAUGAUCCCAGAGUCCCGGGAUCGAGUCCCACAUCAGGCUCCCGGCUCAUCGGGUAGCCUGCUUCUCCCUCUGACCCUCUCCCCUCUCUGCUGUUUCUCAUUCUCUCUCUCUCUCAAAUAAAUAAAUAAAAUCUUUAAAAAAAAUAAAGUGGAGAUCGGGGCACCUGGGCGGCUCAGUCGGUGAAGCGUCUGCCUUCGGCUCAGGUCAUGAUCCCAGGGUCCUGGGAUCGAGUCCCUCGUCAGGCUCCCUGCUUGGUGGGAGUCUGCUUCUCCCUCUGCCUCUGCCCCUCCCCCUGCUUGUGCUCGCCCUCUCUCUCUCUGGCAAGUAGAUAAAUAAAAUCUUAAAAAAAAAAAAAUGGAGCUCAUCCUAUUUUCUUCAUUAAGUUGAUUACAUGAAAAACAGUUUAUGCAAAAUGCUUUAGCAAAGUGUCUGGCACAAAGAUAAACGCUCUGUAAACAGUAGUCAUGCGUGCUGUCUCACCCAGUCAUGGCCGAAAUCUGAUGGUCUUGUGCAAUAGAUAAACCAGGAAGGACAAUUAACAAGCUAAACAUACUUGGCAAGCAGAGUGGUAAACACGUCCCACCCUGCAAGUAAGCAAAGGAACUCUAGGUAAAACAACAGUGAGACACCAUGUCUUGCCUCCAAAAUGAGAAAAUUGCUUUAGUAAUACUUAGAUUACUUAAAUAUUGGAAAGGACACAGUGAAUCAGGGACUCUCAGUCAUUCAGCUUGGGGCUCAAAAUUACCAGAAAGCAGUAGUUUUUUUGUUUUGUUUUGUUUUUUAAGAUUUUAUUUUAGAGAGAGUAGGGGCAGAGGGAGAAUCUUAAGCAGACUCCCUGCUGAGCCCAACGUGGGGCUUGAGAUCAUGACCUGAGCUGAAACCCAAGAGUUGGACCCUCAACCUGGCUGAGCCCCCCAGGCGCCCUUGCAAUAGUUUUAAAUUUAAAAUUGACCUACUUCUGUCCCAGUAACUGUGUUUUUAGUAGUCGAGAUCAUAGAAAUGCAGAAAAAAGUUUGAAUAAAGAAGUUUCUGACACCUUUGCUUGUAAUAAUGACAGACAGGCAGCCAGCUGGUUAGAUAGACAGGCAGAUGAUAGAUAGAUACAGAGAAACAGAUAGAAAACCACCUAAAUAACCAUCAGUAGGAAACACCUAACUAAAUUAGGAUAUAGCCAUUCUGUGAAUGGGUUGUUGCAUACUGGGGUUCAGGUUGUGCACUGCAUAAGGGAGCCACAGCUAAAGGAGCUUCAGUGACAUCUUAGACACAUACUGAGAAAUGAGAGCUUGCAGGUCCUCGUAUAAGUGAGCACAGACAGGGGCACCGGGUGGCUCAUGCAGUUGAGCAUCUGCAUCUUGGUUUCAGCUCAAGUCAUGAUGUCAGGGUUGAAAGAGUGAGCUCCUCGUCAGGCUCCACGCUCUGCAUGGAGUCGGCAUGGAGUCAGCUUGUCCCUCUCCCUCUGCUCCUCCCUCUGCUUGUGCUCGUGCUCUCUCUCUUUCUAAAAUAAAUAAAUAAAUAAAACCUUUAAAAAAAAAAUAAGUGAGCGGUGCCUGCGUGGCUCAGUCGGUUGAGCAUCUGCCUUUGGCUCGGGUCAUGAUCUCAGCAUCCUGGGAUUGAGCCCCAUGUUGGGCUCCCUGCUCAGCAGGGAUCUGCUUCUCCCUCUCCCUCUGCUCCUCCCCUCCACUAGUGCUCUCUCUCUCUCUAAAGUAAAUUAAAAAGUCUUUAAACGGGACACCUGGGUGGCUCACUUGGUUAAGCGUCUGCCUUCGGCUCAGGUCAUGACCCCAGGGUCCUGGGAUCGAGUCCCGCAUGAAUAAAUAAAUAAAAUCUUUAAAAAAAAAAAAAUCUUUACAAAAAGUAAACUGAGUGCUGUCACACGCGGCUAUGCACACGCUCAGUGGUGCACACAUGUGUGUGUAGUUCAAGCCUGUCCCAUGUGUACCUGUGAGCCUCCUCUUCUUGCUCACCUGCUGCCCCAGGUCCUGCCCAGCUGUGAAUCUGACACAGACUCCUCAUCUGGAGAUGGAGCGUGCACUCUGGAAGCGCAAGCCCCUGGCAUCCAGGGAGUUCAGGGUGUACGUGGGGGGCAGAGCGUGGGUGUCUAGGUGCACAACGAGGCUGCUUCCCGCCAUGUGCUGGAAUGCGCCUGGCGGAGCGAUCAGACCAUGCAGCAGCUCGCUUGCACCAAUAUUGUAUGUGAGGCGAGAGUGCCUUUUUAAAAUUCUGGUAAAGGGUAAGGGCAUCGGGCAGGCAGGCAGAGGCCCUGCUGACUUCCGUGUGUGUCCCAAAAGCAAGUUGCAGGACGCUAGGCACAGUGUGGUUGCAGUUAGGUAAAUAAGUAUGUACGGGGAGGUGAGUAGGGAAG